rfam:Cricetulus griseus cell line CHO-K1, whole genome shotgun sequence.
CUAACUGUCAUGCACCCGAUCUCCUCUGAUCUCGGAAGCUAAGCAGGGUCAGGCCUGGUUAGUACUUGGAUGGGUGACUUUGAACUUCUAAU